GAUGCUGUAGUUCAGUGGCAAGAGCACCGGCCUGUCACGCCGGAGACGCGGGUUCGAGUCCCGUCAGCAUCG
rnacentral:tRNA from 1 species